rnacentral:rRNA from 1 species
AGUGAACGCCGGCGGUAGGCCUAACACAUGCAAGUCGAACGGCAGCACAGGAGAGCGUGCUCUCUGGGUGGCGAGUGGCGGACGGGUGAGGAAUACCGCGGAAUCUACUCUGUCGCGGGGGAUAACGUAGGGAAACUUACGCUAAUACCGCAUACGACCUACGGGUGAAAGCAGGGGACCUUCGGGCCUUUCGCGAUUGAAUGAGCCGAUCUCGGAUUAGCUAGUUGGCGGGGUAAAGGCCCACCAAGGCGACGAUCCGUAGCUGGUCUGAGAGGAUGAUCAGCCACACUGGAACUGAGACACGGUCCAGACUCCUACGGGAGGCAGCAGUGGGGAAUAUUGGACAAUGGGCGCAAGCCUGAUCCAGCCAUACCGCGUGGGUGAAGAAGGCCUUCGGGUUGUAAAGCCCUUUUGUUGGGAAAGAAAUCCAGCUGGCUAAUACCCGGUUGGGAUGACGGUACCCAAAGAAUAAGCACCGGCUAACUUCGUGCCAGCCGCCGCCGUAA